AGUGAACGCUGGCGGCGUGCUUAACACAUGCAAGUCGAACGAGAACGGGUUAUAACUUGUUAUAACUGUCAGCUAAGUGGCGCACGGGUGAGUAAUGUAUAGGUAAUAUGCCUCUUACUAAGGGAUAACAAAUGGAAACGUUUGCUAAUACCUUAUACUCCUUAUUAACAUAAGUUAAUAAGGGAAAGAUUUAUUGGUAAGAGAUUAGCCUGUAUUGUAUCAGUUAGUUGGUGGGGUAAUGGCUUACCAAGACUAUGACACAUAACUGGUUUGAGAGGAUGGUCAGUCACACUGGAACUGAGACACGGUCCAGACUCCUACGGGAGGCAGCAGUGGGGAAUAUUGCACAAUGGACGGAAGUCUGAUGCAGCAACGCCGCGUGGAGGAUGACACAUUUCGGUGCGUAAACUCCUUUUAUAUGAGAAGAUAAUGACGGUAUUAUAUGAAUAAGCACCGGCUAACUCCGUGCCAGCAGCCGCAGUAA
rnacentral:rRNA from 1 species